rnacentral:rRNA from 1 species
GGUGAGUAACGCGUGGGUAACCUGCCCUGUACACACGGAUAACAUACCGAAAGGUAUGCUAAUACGAGAUAAUAUGUAAUGAUCGCAUGGUCAAUACAUCAAAGCUCCGGCGGUACAGGAUGGACCCGCGUCUGAUUAGCUAGUUGGUGAGGUAAUGGCUCACCAAGGCGACGAUCAGUAGCCGACCUGAGAGGGUGAUCGGCCACAUUGGAACUGAGACACGGUCCAAACUCCUACGGGAGGCAGCAGUGGGGAAUAUUGCACAAUGGGCGAAAGCCUGAUGCAGCAACGCCGCGUGAGCGAUGAAGGCCUUCGGGUCGUAAAGCUCUGUCCUCAAGGAAGAUAAUGACGGUACUUGAGGAGGAAGCCCCGGCUAACUACGUGCCAGCAGCCGCGGUAAUACGUAGGGGGCUAGCGUUAUCCGGAUUUACUGGGCGUAAAGGGUGCGUAGGCGGUCUUUCAAGUCAGGAGUGAAAGGCUACGGCUCAACCGUAGUAAGCUCUUGAAACUGUAAGACUUGAGUGCAGGAGANGAGAGUGGAAUUCCUAGUGUAGCGGUGAAAUGCGUAGAUAUUAGGAGGAACACCAGUUGCGAAGGCGGCUCUCUGGACUGUAACUGACGCUGANGCACGAAAGCGUGGGGAGCAAACAGGAUUAGAUACCCUGGUAGUCCACGCC